rnacentral:rRNA from 1 species
AUUGAACGCUGGCGGAAUGCUUUACACAUGCAAGUCGAACGGCAGCACGGGGGCAGCCCUGGUGGCGAGUGGCGAACGGGUGAGUAAUACAUCGGAACGUGCCCGGUCGUGGGGGAUAACGUAUCGAAAGUUACGCUAAUACCGCAUACGAUCUGAGGAUGAAAGCGGGGGACCUUCGGGCCUCGCGCGAUCGGAUCUGCCGAUGUCAGAUUAGGUAGUUGGUGGGGUAAAGGCCUACCAAGCCGACGAUCUGUAGCUGGUCUGAGAGGACGACCAGCCACACUGGGACUGAGACACGGCCCAGACUCCUACGGGAGGCAGCAGUGGGGAAUAUUGGACAAUGGGCGCAAGCCUGAUCCAGCCAUUCCGCGUGCAGGACGAAGGCCUUCGGGUUGUAAACUGCUUUUGUACGGAACGAAAAGGCUCUGGCUAAUACCUGGGGCUCAUGACGGUACCGUAAGAAUAAGCACCGGCUAACUACGUG